CUUUUCUUGUUAGUUUUUGAAGUAUGGCCUGCCCACUGACUUUUUGUUGAAGGGCCGCGGUAUUUUGACCGUGCAAAGGUAGCAUAAUCAUUAGUUCUUUAAUUGUGAUCUGGUAUGAAUGGCUUGACGAGGCAUAUACUGUCUUAGAAGUAUUGUUUGUUGAAUUUAGUUUUUGAGUUAAAAUUCUUAGAUGUUUUUAUGGGACGAGAAGACCCUAUAGAGUUUAACAUUUAUUUUUAUUAUAAUUUGUUGUUUGUUUUUAUUUUUAAUUGGGUUAAGUGUUUUGUUGGGGUGAUGGGAGGAAUGUUUUUAACUCCUCUUUGUUUUUAUAUAUUGAUUUAUAUUUUUUUGAUCCAUUUAUUUUGAUUAUAAGAUUAAAUUACC
rnacentral:rRNA from 1 species